rnacentral:lncRNA from 1 species
CUGGUUGGCAGGCCAUGUGACCUAGACACGUGACUUGGAGCUGGCUGGGAUGGUUUCUCUUAUUUGAAUAAGCUCGGGCUUAUUAUUGCAGUUACAAGUCUGUGGAAGCUGCGGGUGCAACGUGAUUCCCUGGCGGUUACACAACGCUGGAGAGCUGUGCUCGCCACUGCCAGCCGCUCCAGGGCUGACUUCUGAAGAAACAGAAAACAAACAGGACUUGGUGUUUUCCAAAUUAAAGACCUCUCAGCCUUCCUGCUCCUGCCACCGUGCAUGCCACCUGCUGCCAUGCCUACUCACCAUGAUGGACUCUUGUUUUUCUGGAACCAUAAACAAACAAACAAAAACAAAAAACACCACCUCUACCACCUCUUUUUUCCAUAAGUUGCUUUUUUUUUUUUUUUUAGCACAGCAACAGAAAGAUAACUAAUACAAGCCUCAAGAAGGAAGAAAAUUCUGGGAUAGCCUAGAAGAACCUGGAAGACACUAUGCUAAAUGAAUUGAACCCUUCACAACACAUGGUUAUUAUAUAAUUCUCCUUCUAGGAGGGAUCUAGAGUUCAGUCCGUCAGAUAGAAACACAAUGUGGUUACUGAUGGCUUAGGAAGGAGGAAACAAGGAGAGAGAAGUUGGUGUUUGUCGUGGUGUUUGUCCCAGACACAGAAAGCAAACUAGGACACCAGGUCAAAGCUCUGCUGAGUUCACAAUGAAGAGACUUAAUGGAUGACAAAGCCAUAAACAGAGAAGCGUCUAAGACUUGGCUGCCAUGGUGUCCAGAAGCAUGCUCUUGUAACUCCAUCCUUGGAUGGUGACCAGUGGAUCCCAUGCUGGCUCUAUUGUCAUUAGGAUGAUGAUCGAACACACCCCCACACAGGAAGAUUCUAUGUAAAGUGUACACAUAUACUUAGACUAGUUCAAGCCAUGGCUUUCUGGAAAUUUCCAGGCUGCCUAUGAUGACCUUUGAAGACCUCACCAUGGACAGGCUAUUCCACCUUAACUAUAAAGCUUACCCGAGUUUCCAUCUCUUGGGAUGUACAGGGCUAGUGGCAUAGGCAACCAAUACAAACUCAGCUUGUGGCAUUCGGCUCCACUUGUAAAUACACAUUCACAACUGAGUGUAAAAGGCUGAGCUGGAAUGACAACAGAAAGAAGAAAACUGGGGAUUGGGCUGGACCAAGCCAUUAUGGAGAGAGGGGCUGCAAGGCAAGAUACUCGGAUUCAGGACAGAUGGCCAAAAAUGAUGCAGAG